rnacentral:tRNA from 1 species
GUUAUUUAAGUGUCUAUCACGUUAUAUUUAGGGUUUAAAAAAGGUAAGUUACCAAAUAACA